rfam:Anopheles minimus strain MINIMTS1 unplaced genomic scaffold supercont1.4, whole genome shotgun sequence.
UAAAAGGGUGCUUGCCUUUUUACGCUUGUAUGGCACAUCUGUGCGGCACCGAGUUGGUUGAGUCCAACCAGGUGUCCGUUCCGGUGGGGUAUGGCUAUCAAGACAUAUCCAGCACAUAAUUUUUGUCCCUGGGAGGCUGUUGACUCGCACCAUUUGCGUCGACGCCUUC